rnacentral:rRNA from 1 species
AGUGAACGCUGGCGGUAGGCCUAACACAUGCAAGUCGAACGGCAGCACAGUAAGAGCUUGCUCUUACGGGUGGCGAGUGGCGGACGGGUGCGUAAUACAUCGGAAUCUACUUUUUCGUGGGGGCUAACGUAGGGAAACUUACGCUAAUACCGCAUACGACCUACGGGUGAAAGCAGGGGAUCUUCGGACCUUGCGCGAUUGAAUGAGCCGAUGUCGGAUUAGCUAGUUGGCGGGGUAAAGGCCCACCAAGGCGACGAUCCGUAGCUGGUCUGAGAGGAUGAUCAGCCACACUGGAACUGAGACACGGUCCAGACUCCUACGGGAGGAAGCAGUGGGGAAUAUUGGACAAUGGGCGAAAGCCUGAUCCAGCCAUACCGCGUGGGUGAAGAAGGCCUUCGGGUUGUAAAGCCCUUUUGUUGGGAAAGAAAAGCAGCAGGUUAAUACCCCGCUGUUCUGACGGUACCCAAAGAAUAAGCACCGGCUAACUUCGUG